UACAGAGGUGGCAAGCGUUGUUCGGAAUUACUGGGCGUAAAGGGCGCGUAGGCGGCCUUCUAAGUCAGACGUGAAAUCCCCCGGCUUAACCUGGGAACUGCGUCUGAUACUGGGAGGCUUGAGUAUGGGAGAGGGAUGUAGAAUUCCAGGUGUAGCGGUGAAAUGCGUAGAUAUCUGGAGGAAUACCGGUGGCGAAGGCGGCAUCCUGGACCAUAACUGACGCUGAGGAGCGAAAGCAUGGGGAGCGAACAGG
rnacentral:rRNA from 1 species